CUCUGUGCGUGAUUUGAGGCUAGGACAGAGGUUCACCUUCCAGCACGACAAUGACCCCAAACAUACUGCUAACGCAACACUUGAGUGGUUUAAGGGGAAACAUGUAAAUGUGUUGGAAUGGCCUAGUCAAAGCCCAGACCUCAAUCCAAUAGAAAAUCUGUGGUCAGAUUUAAAGAUUGCUGUUCACAAGCGCAAACCAUCGAACUUGAAGGAGCUGGAGCAGUUUUGCAAGGAGCAAUGGGCAAAAAUCCUAGUGGUUAGAUAUGGCAAGCUCAUAGAGACUUAUCCAAAGCGACUUGGAGCUGUGAUUGCAGCAAAAGGUGGCUCUACAAAGUAUUGACUUUAGGGGGGUG